rnacentral:sRNA from 1 species
ACAACAACAAUAACAAGCAACGACGAAGACAAUAAAAACAACACGUAACGACUCCAGCACAACAAAAACAAAAUCGCGGAGGCGCAGCUAACUGAUUCUUUUGGAGAGGAGUUGCUGUCGGGACCCGUCCCGCAGCCAGUCGGAAGAAGAAUAAAACUGCCUCGAGGCAGCGCACAGACUGGUUGGAUCGCUCGACGAUCAUGGCAGCAUCAGCGACCAAAGCAAUCCGUUUGCUAUUGAACUCCCAGCCUGGGAGAUAUCCCUGAAGCGACUGGCUCAAGGGACGGGGGGGUGUCAUAAAUUCCGUGUUU